rnacentral:rRNA from 1 species
GAUGAACGCUGGCGGCGUGCCUAAUACAUGCAAGUCGAACGCUGGAGAUCUAGCUUGCUAGAUCGAAGGAGUGGCGAACGGGUGAGUAAUACAUAAGCAACCUACCCACGAAGACUGGGAUAAUCUCUGGAAACGGGGACUAAUACCGGAUAGGUAAUCGGAAGGCAUCUUCUGGUUAUUAAAGGUUAAAAACACUGGUGGAUGGGCUUAUGGCGCAUUAGUUAGUUGGUGAGGUAACGGCCCACCAAGACGAUGAUGCGUAGCCGGCCUGAGAGGGUGAACGGCCACAUUGGGACUGAGACACGGCCCAGACUCCUACGGGAGGCAGCAGUAGGGAAUUUUCGGCAAUGGGGGCAACCCUGGCCGAGCAACGCCGCGUGAGUGAAGACGGCCUUCGGGUUGUAAAGCUCUGUUGUAAGGGAAGAACGGUAGAUAGAGAAUAUCUAAGUGACGGUACCUUACCAGAAAGCCACGGCUAACUACGUG